rnacentral:miRNA from 1 species
UCUCUCUCUCUCUCUCUCUCUCUCUCUCUCUCUCACACACACACACACACACACAUACAGAGAGAGAGAGAGAGAGAGAGAGAGAGA